rnacentral:lncRNA from 1 species
GGAAGUGAGGACGUUAACCACGUCUGAUUGGUCAGAUUGAUGACACAUGAUCAAGCCUCAAGCAAUUGAUUGGCGGAGACAGUUGAAGGAGGCGGGACUUUUCUGAAAGCCGAUCUUGCGGCUGGAUUAGCGUGCUAUUAUCAAAUCGUCCACUGGGUGGCAGUGUAGCGUGCCGUGCUGUGAUGUCGAGUAGGCCCGCAGCAGAGGAAGAAAGUUUCCUUUUGUGAUGCCAGCAGAACGUGUGUUUAUCACUAUUCUGUUCCUCAGGUUAGUAAACACUUUAUGUUAAACUAAUGUGCGUCUGCAUCAGCCACCUAUCCCAGAACAUUCUGCUGUACAGCCUGAUAAAAGAGGAGGAGUCCAAGAAGAAACUGGCCUAUCAGAGGCUACUUUCAACUUUGAACCAGUCCAGGGAUCAUACAGAGUGACAAACAGAAGAGAAGAACUUCUAAAUGAAGAUGUCAGAGAUGAAGCUGAUGAUAGAAGUGAUGAUGAUGAUGAAGAAGAAGACGUGAAAGAGCUGGAAGAACC